UACAGAGGUCUCAAGCGUUGUUCGGAUUCAUUGGGCGUAAAGGGUGUGUAGGUGGCGCGCUAAGUCGGGUGUGAAAUUUCGGAGCUUAACUCCGAAACUGCAUUCGAUACUGGCGUGCUUGAGGACUGGAGAGGAGACUGGAAUUCAUGGUGUAGCAGUGAAAUGCGUAGAGAUCAUGAGGAAGACCAGUGGCGAAGGCGAAUCUCUGGACAGUUACUGACACUGAGGCACGAAGGCCAGGGGAGCAAACGGG
rnacentral:rRNA from 1 species